AGUGAACGCUGGCGGUAGGCCUAACACAUGCAAGUCGAACGGCAGCACAGUAAGAGCUUGCUCUUACGGGUGGCGAGUGGCGGACGGGUGAGGAAUACAUCGGAAUCUACUUUUUCGUGGGGGAUAACAUAGGGAAACUUACGCUAAUACCGCAUACGACCUACGGGUGAAAGCAGGGGAUCUUCGGACCUUGCGCGAUUGGAUGAGCCGAUGUCGGAUUAGCUAGUUGGCGGGGUAAAGGCCCACCAAGGCGACGAUCCGUAGCUGGUCUGAGAGGAUGAUCAGCCACACUGGAACUGAGACACGGUCCAGACUCCUACGGGAGGCAGCAGUGGGGAAUAUUGGACAAUGGGCGCAAGCCUGAUCCAGCCAUACCGCGUGGGUGAAGAAGGCCUUCGGGUUGUAAAGCCCUUUUGUUGGGAAAGAAAAGCAGCAGGUUAAUACCCCGCUGUUCUGACGGUACCCAAAGAAUAAGCACCGGCUAACUUCGUG
rnacentral:rRNA from 1 species